UCCCUUGUAGCUCAGUUAGUAAAGAAUCUGCUUGCAAUGCAGGAGACCUGGGUUUGAUUCCUGGGUAGGGAA
rnacentral:tRNA from 1 species